rnacentral:lncRNA from 1 species
ACGAGACAGGAGGAUCUAGGCGAUUGCGCAGGUGGGGCCCGGGCCUCCGCCUCAGGUGGCACCAGGGGGCCUGGAGCAGCCGCGGCUUCGCCCUGACUGUGAGGAGAGGCCUCACACGCAGGCCAAGUGUAUUGGCUUUGUGAAGAGGACUUCCCAGGGCCCAGACCGAGUUGGGGACUGUGGUGCGAACCAUGCUGCUGCCGGGUCUCUGAGUCCCUGGUGCAGGUGAUUGCGGGGUGGAACGUUGAAGCAGGUACUGAUCCUGCUCUGGUCCGUGGGGCUGUGGAAAAAUCAUUUUCAGUAUUUCUGGUCUCUUCUGGAAGACCUUCGCUAACAGCAAAUUCUCAUCUUGGACGAUGUCACGCGGCUGUCGUGGGACUGUGUCCCCAAAGCAGCAGUGAGGAAAAAACGGGCCCAGUAGUGGCGAGACCUCGGCCCUGGCCCUACCACUAGGAAGACACUCUACAAGUCAAGCUGGCACUGGUUAAAUUAUAAGAUACACUACAAUCUCGUUCCCUGACCUCUUGAAGGUUUUGUUGAUAAAGGAAAAACGUAAACAUACAAGUAAACACAAUUUCCACAAUUCACAAUGGGCCAUCAUCAGUGAAGACCAUGGUGGAACCCAGAAACUAUAUGGGUGAGCAAAACGUUCUACAGAUGAACACUGCAUUCUUCCUGGAAUAAACCCUUCUCAUUUAAAGAUUUCCUGUGACAGGUGAUAACAAUCUUCUCCAAUUACUUGUAAAAGUCCUCUUUCUUCAGACUGAAAUAUAGCCUAGAAAUCUUGAAGACAUCUAGAGAACAAUCACGUUGAUGAAUAUGUGCAUACUUAAUAAUGCUAUAAGAAAAGAUAAAGAAUAAGUGGGGUCUUAAGUAAUUAUACAUUGGUCAAAGGAAGAAAGUUGAAUAUCUCAGGCAAUUGGCACAAGACAAGGAGGUCCCAGGAAAUUUCAAGACACUAAGAACGCGAGUUUGAAAAUGUCAUGGAUUAGGAGAGUGGAAGAAAAUAAGGUUGCAUGCAUGGGGAUUCUUGGAAAUCUUUAAAAUGGGGCAAUGCAGGAAAGACUCAUCCCAGGGACCCCCAAGGCUCUGAUUAAGGAAAGUGACCCGGUAUCGUUGAAUUUAGAAAGGUUGGUCCAGUGUUAUAGCAUAAGGCAGGGAAAAGGCAGAGAUGGGGAAUCCAGACCAAAAGUUGGUGUAAUUAUCCAGUUAUGAAGUGAGAAAGACCUCAAAAGCUUAUUUUUUUCAGUCAGACAGAUAUAUUUUGCUGUUGACUUGUAUGGCUUGGCUUAAUCAGUCACUUGCCUAAUUUCAAUAGACAUACAUUUGGGUAAAGGUAGUUUCUAAAAACCAAAUCACCUCAAAGAACAAAGUUUGACCAUCAUUUACAACAUUCUAAAGAGCCUCACAUAGUAUUUUAAAGCAAUGGCAAAACAUGAAUGGCAAAAAUAUUUUCAGCAUUGACAUCAUCAAAGAAGAGAACAUUUUGGUCUGCCCUGCAAAAACUGUCAUAUUACAGUAUCACAGCAUUCCUCAAAGUGCAUUGUAGAGCAUUGAUUCUUUGAGGACAUUAGUAGGUAUUAGGGCAGGGAAAUUAUUGUGUGUUCAAAUAUAUUUGAAAUGUGAGAGUCAAUAAACAAGAUCCUUACUGUAA